rnacentral:lncRNA from 1 species
CCGCGCGUGCGCAGCGCGGACGGCGUUCCGGAAUCGCGCCCGGCGCGGGAGAGCGUCUGCACUGAAGGCCGCGGAAGCUGGCGCGGCUGCUACGCAGACAGCGUAGGGCUGGGGAUGGCGGAAGCCGGGUGAGGCGCGGCGCGUGGGCACCACCCGCGACCCCACGGUCCCGGGCGCCGCUGGGCAGAGAGCAGGGGCCCGCCCAAGGUCACCGGCUGAGCGGCCCAGCCCGAUCCAAGGUCGCGCCGCUCAGAUGACAGGGAGAGUGACAGCGCCGCUCUGCUGUCCCUCGCCGCAGACUGUCAACCUUAGCUGCUGGGGAUCAGGAGUGGGGCGGGGCGGGGCUGCUCUUUGCGGUCAGUUGGUAGCUGUCUGGACAUAUGUGCGUCCUGCAGCCAUUUGUGCAAAAAAGGCAAAAGCUGCCACUUGCCUGGCGACAUGCUUGAGGGACUGGGUUCGAACCUCAGCACUGCAAAAAAGAAAAUAAAAAAGGAAGGAAAGAAAAGAGAGAACGCCAUCCUCUUAAACAGGAGCAGAAAGGGAGAGACUGUAAGAGUGUGCACAGCACACGUACGUAAAUCAUGAAAUAUGGUUUCUGGCCGUGACUAUAACACUGGGAUGACCCUCUUAGAGGACGUGAAAGUGGGCUACAGCGUUCCUGCAACAAAACGGGCACCAUUACCGUGUGCUAAACGUUUAGAAAAUUCUGUCAAGAUAUUCAAGAUUUAUAAAUAAAUCCCAAAGCGCACAGCGUACGUUUGUGGGGACA